rnacentral:rRNA from 1 species
CGGGUAAGUUCCGACCCGCACGAAAGGCGUAACGAUUUGGGCACUGUCUCAACGAGAGACUCGGUGAAAUCAUAGUACCUGUGAAGAUGCAGGUUACCCGCGACAGGACGGAAAGACCCCGUGGAGCUUUACUGUAGCCUGAUAUUGAAAUUCGGCACAGCUUGUACAGGAUAGGUAGGAGCCUUUGAAACGUGAGCGCUAGCUUACGUGGAGGCGCUGGUGGGAUACUACCCUAGCUGUGUUGGCUUUCUAACCCGCACCACUUAUCGUGGUGGGAGACAGUGUCAGGCGGGCAGUUUGACUGGGGCGGUCGCCUCCUAAAAGGUAACGGAGGCGCUCAAAGG